rnacentral:tRNA from 1 species
GUUUCGGUGGUGUAGUCGGUUAUCACGUCUGUCUCACACACAGACGGUCCCCGGUUCGAGUCCGGGUCGAAACA